UACGAAGGGGACUAGCGUUGUUCGGAAUCACUGGGCGUAAAGCGCACGUAGGCGGAUGUGUCAGUCAGGGGUGAAAUCCCGGAGCUCAACUUCGGAACUGCCUUUGAUACAGCACGUCUUGAGUCCGAUAGAGGUGGGUGGAAUUCCUAGUGUAGAGGUGAAAUUCGUAGAUAUUAGGAAGAACACCGGUGGCGAAGGCGGCCCACUGGAUCGGUAUUGACGCUGAGGUGCGAAAGCGUGGGGAGCAAACAGG
rnacentral:rRNA from 1 species